CGCCUCUUGCAAAACUAACGAAUAAGAGGUCCUGCCUGCCCCCUGACCAUGAGUUUAACGGCCGCGGUAUUUUAACCGUGCAAAGGUAGCGUAAUCACUUGUCUUUUAAAUAAGGACCCGUAUGAACGGCAAGACGAGGGCUUAGCUGUCUCCUUUCUCAAGUCAAUGAAAUUGAUCCUCCCGUGCAGAAGCGGGAAUCCUCGCAUAAGACGAGAAGACCCUGUGGAGCUUUAGGCACCAAGACAGACUAUGUAAAAACAACUCCUAGCCAAAGGACCGACCUAAUUCAAUCUGCCCUAAUGCCUUCGGUUGGGGCGACCAUGGGGUAUUAAAAAACCCCCACGUGGAAUGGAAGCAAUUCUUUCUGCUACCACAACCAAGAGCACCCCCUCUAACUAACAGAAUUUCUGACCAAUUUAUGAUCCGGCAACGCCGAUUAACGAACCAAGUUACCCCAGGGAUAACAGCGCAAUCCUCUUUUAGAGUCCAUAUCGACAAGAGGGUUUACGACCUCGAUGUUGGAUCAGGACAUCCUAAUGGUGCAACCGCUAUUAAGGGUUCGUUUGUUCAACGAUUAAAGUCCU
rnacentral:rRNA from 1 species